GGGGCCGAUUAGGAUUCGACGCUGGUUGCGAAACUUUAGGUGCAUGCCGAGUUGGUAACAGAACUCGUAAAUCCACUGUUGCAACUUCUAUAGUUGCCAAUGACGAAAACUACGGAGCAACAGCUCUAGCUGCGUAAGCAGCCGAGCCGCUCCUCUGGUCGCUUCGGCGCCAGCAGUCACUAGAGGAUGUCUGUAAACUCAAACUGACUGUCAGAUAGAACAGAAUCGCCGCGUAGUAUGUUGUGGACGAAGUGGCUAAAACUUACACAACUCAUCCAAAGCACCCUGCCGAUCGGGCGGCUGCGGAUUAAAUGAGUAGACACGGCUAAGCAUGUAGUACCGACAGCGGAGUACUGGCGGACGGGGGUUCAAAUCCCCCCGGCUCCACCA
rnacentral:tmRNA from 1 species